UGCUCCGGUGGCUUACUGGUUAUAGCGUCCGCCUCGGAUGUGGGAGGUCGUGGGCUCGAUCCCCAGUCUAGUCAU